CUGGGAGAAGGCUUACUGAUCAAGGUUAAUUAUGGAUUCUUUUAAGAUAGGAUGCUUGUCAUUGCAAGAGGUGAUGGCAAGCAUCCUGGCCCAAGGACACCUCACUCUUAGGCUGCUCUAGCAACGGGAUCACGGCCUCUUUCCUUUCCUCCACUGAGCAAGUUUGUUGGAUGGAGGCUGUAGGGUCCUCGAAUAUAUCCAUUGACUCUCACAUAAUGGAUGAGGAAUAC
rnacentral:lncRNA from 1 species